rnacentral:tRNA from 1 species
GCUAAUGUAGCAUAAUCUGGUUUUGCCAAAGACCUAAGCCCUUUUCAUAGAAGUUCAAAUCUUCUCAUUAGCU